UGGGGAAUAUUGGACAAUGGGCGAAAGCCUGAUCCAGCCAUGCCGCGUGUGUGAAGAAGGUCUUCGGAUUGUAAAGCACUUUAAGUUGGGAGGAAGGGCAGUUACCUAAUACGUGAUUGUUUUGACGUUACCGACAGAAUAAGCACCGGCUAACUCUGUGCCAGCAGCCGCGGUAAUACAGAGGGUGCAAGCGUUAAUCGGAAUUACUGGGCGUAAAGCGCGCGUAGGUGGUUCGUUAAGUUGGAUGUGAAAUCCCCGGGCUCAACCUGGGAACUGCAUUCAAAACUGACUGACUAGAGUAUGGUAGAGGGUGGUGGAAUUUCCUGUGUAGCGGUGAAAUGCGUAGAUAUAGGAAGGAACACCAGUGGCGAAGGCGACCACCUGGACUAAUACUGACACUGAGGUGCGAAAGCGUGGGGAGCAAACA
rnacentral:rRNA from 1 species